GUACACGCUGUGACUAGCAUAUCAAUAAGCGGAGGAAAAGAAACUAACAAGGAUUCCCUUAGUAACGGCGAGUGAAGCGGGAAGAGCUCAAAUUUGAAAUCUUCAAGGUUUUACCUUGACGAAUUGUAGUUUAAAGAAGUGUUUUCUGCUGAAGUUUUGGUAAAAGUUCUUUGGAAUAGGACAUCAUAGAGGGUGAGAAUCCCGUAUUUGACCAUUAUUUUCAGCUUUGUGAUACACUUUCAAAGAGUCGGAUUGUUUGGGAAUGCAGUCCAAAAUGGGUGGUAAAUUUCAUCUAAAGCUAAAUAUUGGCGAGAGACCGAUAGCGAACAAGUACCGUGAGGGAAAGAUGAAAAGAACUUUGAAAAGAGAGUUAAACAGUACGUGAAAUUGUCAAAAGGGAAGCGUUUGACACCAGUGUUGUUUUCUCGAAAAUCAAUUAAAAAUGGCUCGAUUUUGUAUUGUUUGAGACCUUAAAAGCUCACUGUACAUUUUUCGUGUCUUUUUUAAUGCACUUUUCGUUUAACAAGUCAACAUCAGUUUCUUUUGUUGUAAAAGGGUCAUUGGAAGGUGGCUUUCUUUUCGGAGAAAGUGUUUAUAGCCUUUGGCCUCUGCAAUCGAAGAGACUGAGGUCUGCAGCGUAGACUCUUCGGGGUUAGAUACAUCUGUGCUAAGUUAUAGCUUUUUAUAGACAACUUGUUGACUAUAAUUAGUCUUGUAGCUUACUCGCUUACGCUAUUUUACCUACGCUUAGGAUGUUGAUCUACAGAGCGAGAGU
rnacentral:rRNA from 1 species